AACAUUCUCAUCCCGGAGCUGACAGUAAAUUAGUAAUAAAACCUCAAACUCACAGGGCUGGAAAUCUUAGCAAAGGAAUAGGAACAGUUGUUUCCCUGCAUCACGACUCAUUUGAGUGGUUAGUGGACAGAGCACAUUUAACCAUCACUUGAUUAUACAUUAUUUACGUCUGUUUAGCACAUAUAACAAUUUUGAUAUAAAAUGUUCCCAAUUAUGGUAAAAAGGAAACUACCCCCACGAUUCAUAAAUGGUUCCAGAUCAGUGGGCAAAAUCCACAGCCUGUUAAUCUCCCGAAUAAUGACUAAUAACAAGAGCUAAUAACAACAUGGAGCACUCCCCACGAAUCCAUGACAAUUCUGGGGCCAUGACAAAAACCGUCCGGGCGAAAAGCAAGCGCUCCAAGUGGAGGCUGAAACACGGUCCUCUUACAUUCCAUUGCGUAGCAAGGGGGGAUUUAGGGAGAUUUAUUUCCUUAAAACUGUGCUCCCAUCCACAGAGCGCCCGCUUCGAUCAAGUUGAGAUACCAAAAUUCAGUCAGGAUAGGGAAUAUACGAGGCAGACUAACCAAAGAUUUGGGCCUCAUAUAUUAUUGACAGAUGUAAUAAUAAUUCCCGGUGGCUUAUUUUUUAAAUAAGCUAAUAGCUUUAAAUAUCCAGCCAUGUUAACACAUGAUGUCGUGGUUGGAACAAAUCAACAGAGAGAAGACCAUCCCUGCAGGAGUUGGGUGACAUCCUACUUUAAAUUAGUGGAUACAUCUUUACUGCAACCUUGAAUUGACUGGAGAACUCAGUGGACCUCAUGCACUUCAGGAGAAAAUCAACGCAGACUGUUUUUCUCUCUAAAAGACUUUGAUGAACGGAAAUCGUAGUGGAUCACGCCCGCUAGAUUUGUUUUCUACCAAACUUCAGUUCCGUACUCAUCAUAUCUGCAGCUCGACUGGAGCAAAGUUUUCAACAUGUGAUCUAAUUUAUGACCGGGAUUUCUUCAGUCUACAGCCACUCUCUGUCGAUGACGGAUGGGGGCAUGGCAAGGUGUCAGGGCCUCUGCAACAAACACAUGGAUUCAAUUUACUACACUCCCCUCCAGCAUCAAUAUGACGGAGCAAAGUCAAGACCCACGGAAUUCCAACAAGGACAAAUAAUACAAGGAGAAAAAUACCUCUCUACCACCUCAAGAUGAAGCCAGACUGAUACUGUGCAUAUGUUCAUUAGCUCACUGUAAAAUAAGCUGUGGCUUGCCACAGGCGAGUGUGCUAGGGCUUCUGUUAUUCCUGCUGUACAUUCAUGAUAUGAAGGAUGCCUGCUCAAUGUCACCUGUUUCUUUAUGCAGAUGACUCUGCACGCCUGGUGUCUCCCAAAAACCAAACCACUCUGGAGAGUAUACUGAGUGUAGAGCUCACAGACAUCAACAAGCUAUCUCUGCACAUCUCUGUUCGGGUCCAAAAUGAAACUAAGCGAGUCCUCAGACAUCAGGGUACAGCUAGCAGGACAGGUACUCAGCCAGAACAGCAGUUAAUUAUUUAGGAUGUACACUAGAUGGCAACCUGGCAGGGGGAGUAUGGCCACUAAGUCAGGUCACUGCUAGUGUAAAGGACAUCACGCUGCUUGCUUAGCGUCGCGAGUAUCACUUCCUCCUGAUUUGUCUCACACCAAGGCUUGAAACCAGGACCUCUGCCUUGCUAGCACAUGUGACCGUCCUCCUGGAGCGUCUUACCAGCCGGCGCCACGGAAAAGCUAGCUAUUCGCUGGCGCAAGUGGGGAAACUUCAGGCUGAGGAAUACGUUUCACACAUCCCCAUGUGCUAACCAGGACCAAGUUCUUGGUUAGGUAGUCUAAGCUGUUGGACAAAGAUUCAAAGAAAGUGCUAGCUAAUGUCAUCCAAUGUCAUUUUGAUGCUAGCACCUCCUGGUUCGAAGGCUUAACUAAUCUACUAAAAAGCAAGCUCAGGAUAGCCCAGAACAAGUUGAAUAGGGUGGUGUUGAAUCUGAGCCCACCUACAGUACUCAUAUUGGUAGGAGCCAGUUUCAGGAGCUCAACUUGCUUCCCGUUGAGUCAAGGGUCACACAGACCAGGCUUAGUCUGGUUCAUAGGAUCAUCCAUGGAGCAGCUCCUAGGCAUUUGUCUCACUACUUUCUCCAUUUUAGAGACUCAUACAAACACAACACUAGAGCUAGCUAACAUGUUGUGUGUAGAAGCCUGACAGGGAAAGGUAUUUUUUUAUAUUUAGGAGCCUCUGAGUGGAAUAGUCUGCCUCUAUCUGUUAAAACUAUUCCCACUCUGAGUAGCUUUAAAAGGACGGUGAAAUCCUGGUUAAUGGAUAGUGUGCCUCUGUGAGCAAUCCCUCCUUGUCUAAUGAUGAUGACCAAAUAGUGUUCCUUUGUGUAUAGUGUGUAUAUGUUGUUGUGAUCUUAUAUGACUAAGUAACCACAUUGACCUUCCAAUUUAGCUUCUGUUUUUUAUUUAGCCACAUAUGCCAUAUUUGACAAAUGCUAUCAUGGAAGAGGACCACAAUUGAAAUAGGUUGUAGACUUUUUAGUGUUUAUCCUCAAUGAUUCUUAAUCAAGUGUAUCAUUUUGUACGUGUACCUUGUUUUUAAAUGAUCAAAUAAAAAAAAACAA